rnacentral:siRNA from 1 species
CAUUGAUCCAGUGGAUUGGGU